GACGAACGCUGGCGGCGUGCUUAACACAUGCAAGUCGAACGGAAAGGCCCCUUCGGGGGUACUCGAGUGGCGAACAGGUGAGUAACACGUGAGUAACCUGCCCUUGACUUCGGGAUAACUCCAGGAAACUGGGGCUAAUACCGGAUAGGAAUCCUUGCUGCAUGGUGGGGGUUGGAAAGCUUCGGCGGUUUUGGAUGGACUCGCGGCCUAUCAGCUUGUUGGUGGGGUAGUGGCUUACCAAGGCUUUGACGGGUAGCCGGCCUGAGAGGGCGACCGGCCACAUUGGGACUGAGAUACGGCCCAGACUCCUACGGGAGGCAGCAGUGGGGAAGAUUGCACAAGGGGCGGAAGCCUGAUGCAGCAACGCCGCGGGCGGGAUGACGGCCUUCGGGUUGUAAACCGCUUUCAGCAGGGGCGAAGCUUGUGGUGACGGUACCUGCAGAAGAAGCACCGGCUAACUACGUG
rnacentral:rRNA from 1 species